ensembl:lncRNA
GUAGAAAUGGAAAGUAGCAUAACAUAGUAAUAUUUAAAUAAACUUUAAGCAUGGGGGUACCAGGUUUGUUAUUCAUGUGGAAAGCACCUUUGGACCCUGAUUGUUCAGUGGAUUCAAAUGUAGUUGCACCCCUGCACCUCCUCAAAGAAAACAAUGCAGGAGCCUAAUCUGCUUCCAAAGGAAACGUUGGCGAGUCAUGUGUUUUGUCAUACCAGGUGUAUGGCAUGUUCAGUCAGAAAUCUGCUGUAAGGAGGUUUUGCUAUGAGUUCCAGGUUGAACAACAGGUUUUCAUGAAAUGGUGUAAAACACUGUGGGCAACAGGGUCACACUUCAGGCGCAACCAUGAAUCAGCAGUAAACCCUGCUGUAUGUAAAACAACUACCUUUGGUUCAAUACUUGUGUAAAAUAACAGCGUGGUUGACACACUGCCAUUCAUAUUUCCAAAUUCAUUUUUUUCAGUUGCUCUUUACUUGAGGUAUUUUUGUGCACCUUUUUCUUUGAAAUAGGCUCAAAUUAUUUUAUUAGAUUCAAGUCAGGUGACACUUUUCUAGGACAUAGUUAUUGUUCUUUCUUUUCUUUCUUUCUUUUUUUCCUUUUCUUUUUUUUGUUGUUGAAAAUAUUAAAUAAUCUUCACCAGUGUGCUAUGGAAUGUAAUCAUAGAAUAUAUGGUGCCAUCUAUAACUGUCAUCUCCCCAACUCCUUUUGCAAUCACACAGCCCUUUAUGAUCACACUCCCACCUGUGUGCUUCAGUGUGGGGUCUAUGAAUUCACUGUGGUCAAGCUGGACAGGCUCACAUAACUCUGCUGGACCCCAUCUGGACAGAACACAUUUGACUUGGUCUUAUCUGGCCAAAGAGUGUAUCCUGAUAUUCAUGUUUGUAAGAAAGUUUUAUGUUACAGUUAUGUAUGUGUGAGGAAAAUAAAGGUAAAAAAUCCUUACUUUUUAAUUUUAUUUGUUUAUUUAUUUUAUAGAGGCCUUUGCACUUGUUUGAGUGGUCACAGAAAUUAAAGCACUUGUCACUAAUCUGAUUGGGGUUUUUUUUUUCAAGUAGAGCACUCACAUUAGUGCAGCCUCCAUGGCCCAGAUUUAUAGAACUUUAUUCGUCCCAUACUAUUUUAUAGUUUUACAGCCAAGUUUUAUCAGUCAGAAUCAUCUGGCUUUUCCACCAUGCAGAUGGACAACGGUCAUAUUGAAGAGUGUACUCAGUUAAAUAUCAGCUAUCAUAGAUUUUCUAAACUCUGUCAGAAAGUAGAAACCGUGAAUGCACCUCUAGAUGAUAUAAGCAAAAAACCAAAACACAAUAUCAAACAUGGUUAACACUUUUUUUUUUUUUUACAUAUUAAAAAAAAUCAGUUCUUAGUACUGUUGGCACACACCAACACCAAAAAGGGUUCAGAUCUACUGGCACCUGUUUGUGUGGCUUCCUCCCACAGUCCAA